CACUAGGAAUGACCCGCCCCUUGUCUGGGCGCACAACUGGAGCCGCAAAUGGAGCCUUGAAACCAGGCUGCUGGGGAAGUUACUCCUGACCGACCUGAAGACCCACCCGCAGCUGGUUAUCUUUGCCCGCAGUAGGGACGGUAGCAAGCCCUAUGGCCUCUUGCCUGCUGUUCCCUACUUCUGAGUGCUAUUCUUGCCCCUAGUGUGGCCAGAUGGCUUCCAGCUCCUUCUCCGUGAUGAAGAAACCUCCCCUGACAGACUACUCUGGGUUUCCACAUCACAGCAAGCACUGACAGAGCUAGGAGAUGGCAGAGCUGGAGCCCAACCAGGCUAGAUCCCAGUCCUCAACCUCCAGAAGGAAGACAUAACAGUCCUUGGCCUGUGUGAUCCAUAGCAAGUGCUUUGGUUGAGAGUGUCAUGCAUCACCAUGCCUGCUGCAACGGGGCUGGAAGAGUAGAUCACGCAUGGCGGAUGGAGAUGCUGAGGCCGUGGACCAGAAUCUGUGCCCAGGCAGCCGGCUCGGGCUCACAGCUAAGACCAAGCUGAGGUCUGUCAUGGUUGGAAGCCCUGCUGCCUAAAGCUACUUACAGCUAUAGCGGGACACCCAAGACUACAUUAGUUCACAAGCGGGAGUUUCUGUAGAUCUGGGUUCUGGAGGUGGGAAGCCGCCCGGAAGCUGGUGUCUAGUGGGCUUCCUGCUGCCUGUGGUGGGAAACAGGAGGUGAAGCCACACAGGAGCAGGGAGGAGAGGGCUGAGCUCUGCCUGUCAGCCUGUCAGCAGCAAUGGCCUUAGUCUGCCAGAACACUUAAAACAGAUUCAUCCCUUAAAGGCCCCACCUCUCCUUGGGGGGGGGGGGGAUAAAGUUCCCAGCAGCUACACAAUGGGGACAGGUUCAAAGCACCACAAUGCCUGACCCCUCAGAGUGCUACGUGCCAUUCCCAAUUGGCCAGUCAGUGACAUUAGCACACAGAAGGCAGAACUACCCUGACCUUUCCGUUCCCCAGAUAACUGCUUGAACCAGAGCCAUUAAGUCAGUUCCCCAGGGUCACACAGUACCCUAGAGGACCAGCCUGUCUGAGUCCACAUCUCUCCCUUCCCCUCCGAUAGUUCAAAAAGCAGAUCACAUACUUCCGAUGCACACAAUGUAUACAUUGUAAUUGUAUAUAGUGUAUACAACACAGUACCCUAGAGGACCAGCUUGUCUAAAUCCACAUCUCUCUCUUCCCCUCUGCUAGUUCAAAAAGCAGAUCACAUACUUCCAAUGCAUACAAUGUACACAUUAUAGUUAUAUACAUUACAUACAAUGACACAGGAUAUACAGUGCCAUUAUGGAAGGGAGAAAAGGUAGUGAGGGAAAAACUGGACCAGAGCAAGACCAAACCCCAAACUCCAAAUCCUGUAGCUCCAUGUCCAAUGUCAAAGAGCUUAGAUGGCUCCACCCUUCAAGCCUUACUGACUGACACUGCGACACACCUCACUCUCUUGUGCUGCUUCCGCACCUUGUCUGCAGCAUCUCCAACAUCUCGGGGUCUCCAACGUAACCUAGUAUUCACCCUCAGGAAAUGGCCUCCUCCAUGCAGGACAUCCCGGACACACACCCUUUAUCCAACGCCUUUACUCCCGUAUCCUCCAUGGCUCUAAAGUCAGAACUACAUGCUCGAUGCCACCAAAUUCUGCCAGCUUAGCUGUGUGGGAUCUUGCUCUGAAGGCACCAAUCCCUUUAUUCCACUUAGCACGGGCCAGUCUUUAGAAGGCUCAACUCCUGAAGUGCAGGACUUGCCUCCAAUAUUACACUCUGCUGUUCUCCUCAUCAAACUACCCUUUAGAUUUUUUUCAUCCUGCUUGCUCUGUUUCAUUGUAGCACAUUGUGAUUGCUGAUGACCCCAUGACACAGUCACUAGUAGGCUGUCUCCAAAUCUCUGCCAAUGAAAUUACUCCAAAAUUCUUCAGAUUCUUAGGAUAAGAACAACAACA